rnacentral:rRNA from 1 species
UACGUAGGUGGCAAGCGUUGUCCGGAUUUAUUGGGCGUAAAGGGAGCGCAGGUGGUUUCUUAAGUCUGAUGUGAAAGCCCACGGCUUAACCGUGGAGGGUCAUUGGAAACUGGGGAACUUGAGUGCAGAAGAGGAAAGUGGAAUUCCAAGUGUAGCGGUGGAAUGCGUAGAUAUUUGGAGGAACACCAGUGGCGAAGGCGACUUUCUGGUCUGUAACUGACACUGAGGCUCGAAAGCGUGGGGAGCGAACAGGAUUAGAUACCCUGGUAGUCCCUGA